GUUUGAUCCUGGCUCAGAGCGAACGUUAGCGGCAGGCUUAACACAUGCAAGUCGAGCGAGAAAGGGGCUUCGGCUCCGAGUAAAGCGGCGGACGGGUGCGUAACACGUGGAUAAUCUGCCUCGUGGCGGGGGACAACAGUCCGAAAGGACUGCUAAUACCGCAUGUCAGGUCGGAAAACUCCGGUUUCUGACGAAAAAGAGGGCGUCCGCAAGGAGCUCUCACCACGAGAUGAGUCCGCGUCCCAUCAGCUAGUUGGCGGUGUAAUGGACCACCAAGGCUUAGACGGGUAGCUGGUCUGAGAGGAUGACCAGCCACACUGGGACUGAGACACGGCCCAGACUCCUACGGGAGGCAGCAGUGGGGAAUAUUGGACAAUGGGCGAAAAGCCUGAUCCAGCCAUGCCGCGUGAGUGAUGAAGGCCUCGGUCGUAAG
rnacentral:rRNA from 1 species